AAGGAAUGUACAAUGCUCAACGUUCCAAUUCAUAAAAACACAGGGAAUAUGCAGGGAGAAAUUAAUUUCUAGGUCUGAAAGAUGUGCAAUUGUUGCUCGAUACUAAGUCAAUCAGUGCCAGAGAUGUAAUGGUUACAAGAGUUCCUUCCCCACCCGAGUCCUCUUCGGAGUGUCUCCGCCCGGACGCAUGCGCGCACGAACACUAGAGGGCGCUAGCACUGCAGCGCCAACGUUUAGCCGGCAGACAAAGGAACGCCGCCGACUGCCCCUCCUGUUGCCAUAAAAGGCAAUGCUUGUACCACUAGAAGAAAGCAGUGGAUAAGAUCCAACACAACCUGCUGCCACUCCCUAAACGGAACAAAGUCCUCGCACCACGGAGUACGCUGCCGAUACUCAACGCCAACUCUCCCAAGUUAGAGAGAGAUGAUGCCGGAGAGCUAGAAGAUUCCACGCCACCCCGCCCCCGCCUGGCCCGCUGAGGAAUGGUACCUGCUCUCGAGGUUUCACGACUGGUCACUAUUCGAUAUGCCAAGGACGCGGCCUAGAAGACUAGCAUGCCUUCAGGAUGCUGGAUUUUCAUGGCUCUGGAGGCAGGCGGACUCGAGGACGGUGCUGCCACCUGGUGCAUUGUGGGAGACAGAAGAUCGAAAGCAGCAAAGCUCUGUGCCCGAAGACCCGAGUUCUUUGGGCACAGAGCUCGGCAGAAGUGAUGCAACAGACUUUUAACACCAUAAACCAGAGUUAUCAAAAACACCUACUGCUCCAUUCUUCACCUGCACUUUGGUAAAUCUGACCACCUCGCAGUGCUUCUACCAGCAUACAGACAGAGACCGAAGAACGUGGCAGGAGCACCUGUGUAAAAGACUAUGAUGGACUGUACGGCAGAAGUGGGGGAGUGAAUUCAGGAUUGCUUUGAGUCGGUGGGCUAGAACAUGAUCAAGGAUUCAAAUCAGCAGACGUAAAGAAAUACGCUGCAAUCAUCAUGACUUCAUAAGGACACGUGUAGAUGCGUGUCAUAAGACCAUCUUGAGUCUUCCCCAGCCAAGAGAUUCAUUUGUGAAUCCAGCUGAGGGAUAGAUCUGUGGCAUUUAGGGCUGGCAACUCAAAUUUAUAUUGGAAGCCAGGUACGACCUCCAGAAGGUCAUUGUGAAUGCAAAGAGGCCAUUUCAGACUAAACUGGAAUUAUAGAUGGACACUGUUCAGCCAUGCCAGGGUUUGCAUAAUAUAAAUUCAUACAAGGCAAAAUUGGAUAGCACAAGUAACAUUGAACCAUCCUUCUGAAUAUGCUCAAUGCCUUUUAUGCAUGUUUUGAUCGAGAAAACUAUGACACACCCAGAUAAAACCACAACAAGACCAGAUGACCCUGUAAUUUCAGUCUCUGAGGCUAACAUCCGGGCAACCUUUAGGAGGGUAAAUCCAUGAAAGGCAUCUGAUCCGGAUGGCUUCAUACUUCAUCCCCCCCCCCCCCGCCAUACAAUCUCACCUAUCACCGCCAGCUUGUAUUCCUUCCCCUCCCCCACUUUCUUAUUCUGGCUUCUGCCCCCUUCCUUUCCAGUCCUGAUGAAAAGUCUCAGCCUGAAAUGUUGACUUUUAUUCUCCACCUUAGAUGCUGCCUGACCUGCUGUGUUCCUCCAGCAUUUAUGUAUUUUGCUCAAGAUUUCCCGCAUCUGCAGAAUCUCUUAUGUUUAUGUGAUUACCAUGUUUGUAAUUUUGUCUGAUAACUAAAUAUUGGAGGGGACACCAAGAUUAACUCACAUACAGAUUAUUGCCCUGGGUUUUUUUCCGACCACCUAAUGCCCUGAGUUUAAUAUUUAUCCAAUUGAUGGUAACUUCACCAGUGCAGUUCUACACCCUGUACUCUCAUGACUAUGUGUCCAGAUUUUCCUCUAACUCCAUCAAAGGCCCCACCCACUCUGGAUAUUUUCUCUUCUCUCCUCUUCGAGCUUGAAAGCGUGCACCUUCAGGCUUAAGGACAGCUUCUACCAUGCUGUUUUAAGACUAUUAAAUGGUUUCCUAGUACUAUAACAAGGGCUGUUGGCCACACAAUCUACCUCGUGAAGAGCUUGUGAGCCAUAUCUCAAAUAAUAAUGAGUCAGAGUACAGGAAGGAGUUAGAGAGCUUAGUAACAGAGUGUCAUGGCAACAACCUUUCCCUCGAUGUCAGCUAAACAGUAACUGGUCAUUGCCUUCUAGAAAGGGACCUGAGCACAUGUUCCUGUCCAAAUCAAUAGUGCCGGGGUUGGGAGGGUUGAAAGCUUCAGGUUCCAAUGAGUGAAUAGCCUUUCCUGGUCAAACCAUGUAGACACACUGGCCAAGAAAGCUCACAUUCCUUCUACUUUUGGCAUGUCCCCAUGGACCCUUACCAAUUUUUAUUGAUGCACCAUAGAAAGCCUUCUAUCGGAAUACAUACCAGCUCGGUAUGGUAACUGCUCUGUACGUGACUGCAAGAAACUGCAAAGGGAUGUGGACACAGCUCAACACAUCACGGAAACUAGCAUCCCCUCCAUGGAUUCUGCCUAUACUUCUUGCUGCCUGCAUAGUCAAAGACCCCAGCCACUCCAGCUAUAUUCUCUUCUCCCCAUUCCAUCGAGUAGAAGAUACAAACAUCUGAAAACAUGUACCAUCAAGCUCAAGGACAACUUCUACUCCGUUGUUAUGAGAUUAUUAAAUAGUUCCCUAGUACGAUAAGAUGGAUUCUUGACCUUGCAAUCUAUGUUAUUAAGAGCUUUCACUUUACUGUAUAGCUGCACUGCGUUUUCUCUGUAGCUGUUACACUUUAUUCUGCAUUGUUAUUGUUUAACCCUGUUCUAUCUCAGUGCCCUGUAUAAUGAUUUGUUCUGUGCAAACAGUACGCAAGUGAAGCUUUCACUGUAUUUCAGUACGUGACAAUAAACCAUUUCCAAUUCCAGCUCCCUCAUUACUGUAUUAGAGUAUCAGCCUGAAAUAUUUGAAGAGAA